rnacentral:rRNA from 1 species
AUUGAACGCUGGCGGCAGGCCUAACACAUGCAAGUCGAGCGGAUGAAGGGAGCUUGCUCCUGGAUUCAGCGGCGGACGGGUGAGUAAUGCCUAGGAAUCUGCCCGGCAGUGGGGGAUAACGUCCGGAAACGGGCGCUAAUACUGCAUACGACCUGAGGGAGAAAGUGGGGGAUCUUCGGACCUCACGCUAUCAGAUGAGCCUAGGUCGGAUUAGCUAGUUGGUGGGGUAAAGGCCUACCAAGGCGACGAUCCGUAACUGGUCUGAGAGGAUGAUCAGUCACACUGGAACUGAGACGCGGUCCAGACUCCUACGGGAGGCAGCAGUGGGGAAUAUUGGGCAGUGGGCGAAAGCCUGAUCCAGCCGUGCCGCGUGUGUGGAGAAGGUCUUCGGAUUGUAAAGCACUUUAAGUUGGGAGGAAGGGCAGUAAGUUGAUACCUUGCUGUUUUGACGUUACCAACAGAAUAAGCACCGGCUAACUUCGUG